GGCUCUGAGAGAGUCAGGGAUGAAGCAGUUUGUGUUUUGAGAUGGUCUUUUUUAUGUAGCCCAGGCUGGCAGCAAUCUUGUGGCAAUCCUGGCUUAGCCUCUCCCACGUGCUAGGUUACGCGUGUAUACGUCACACCCAUCCAAGGCUAUUUUAUUUUGUGUUUUGUUGUGUUUGUUUUUUUUGUGUUGUUUGUUUGUUUGUGUUAAGACAGGGUUUCUCUGUAGCCCUGGCUGUCCUAGAACUUCCUACAUACAGCAGGCUGGCCUCGAACUCGGAGAUCCACCUGCCUUUGCCACCGGAGUCCUGAUAUCAAAGGCGAAUGCCAGCACCGCCAGGCCCAAAGCACAGUUCUUAACAUCCAGGUCUGAUGGGAAAGAACAGAUCCUCACCCUGGAUGAGACAGGGCACCUCACCACUCCUGUCUGCCGUUUCCGAUCAGCUGAUCUACAUCCUGUUGCUUCACUCCUACUGAUGCUCAAGUCAGUGCCGUCCCUCGGUUCACACACCUGAGCGUGUGGUGAGUUUACGUAGGGAUCACGUGACUGGAUGAAGCUGAAUGACAGGAGUCGGGGUCCCCACAGUCCGGUUUCUGCCUUCUGUUGCAAGGAGUUCGCCUAGCAAGACUCUGGAAAGGGGGUUCCCCUGCACCUCUCCUCACCUCCUACAGCAGCCAGUAGGGAUGGCCCGCCAUUGAGAAGCCUGUCAAAGCUGUGCUCUCAGCAUCCGGGCUGCUUCUGUGCUACCGCCAGUGCCCAGCAACCACCAGGGACUGGGCAACAGCAAAAGUGAAGCUGACUCAGCCGGUUUCCACCCCCGCCCAGGGAAAUGGGGAGCAGCCUCGGCUGGACAACAACCAAUUAGGCACUUUUUAUUGCCCACGCUGUCAUAAUCCUUCAGAGCUUGGCUGGGAGGA
rnacentral:lncRNA from 1 species